rnacentral:rRNA from 1 species
GUGAGGAAUCUUAGACAAUGGGCGCAAGCCUGAUCUAGCCAUGCCGCGUGAGCGAUGAAGGCCUUAGGGUUGUAAAGCUCUUUCAGGGGGGAAGAUAAUGACGGUACCCCCAGAAGAAGCCCCGGCUAACUCCGUGCCAGCAGCCGCGGUAAUACGGAGGGGGCUAGCGUUGUUCGGAAUUACUGGGCGUAAAGCGCACGUAGGCGGACCAGAAAGUCAGGGGUGAAAUCCCGGGGCUCAACCCCGGAACUGCCUUUGAAACUCCUGGUCUUGAGGUCGAGAGAGGUGAGUGGAAUUCCGAGUGUAGAGGUGAAAUUCGUAGAUAUUCGGAGGAACACCAGUGGCGAAGGCGGCUCACUGGCUCGAUACUGACGCUGAGGUGCGAAAGCGUGGGGAGCAAACAGGAUUAGAAACCCGGGUAGUCC